UACAGAGGCCUCGAGCGUUAGGCGGAAUCACUGGGCUUAAAGCGUGUGUAGGCGGACUUCUAAGUACCUUGUGAAAUCCCACGGCUCACCCGUGGAACUGCUCGGUAUACUGGUCGUCUUGAGCCUUCUAGGGGCGAGUGGAACAAAUGGUGGAGCGGUGAAAUGCGUAGAUAUCAUUUGGAACGCCAAUGGUGAAAACAGGUAGCUGGGGAAGUGCUGACGCUGAGACACGAAAGCCAGGGGAGCGAACGGG
rnacentral:rRNA from 1 species